rnacentral:rRNA from 1 species
GACGAACGCUGGCGGCGUGCUUAACACAUGCAAGUCGAACGGAAAGGCCCUGCUUUUGUGGGGUGCUCGAGUGGCGAACGGGUGAGUAACACGUGAGUAACCUGCCCUUGACUUUGGGAUAACUUCAGGAAACUGGGGCUAAUACCGGAUAUGAGCUCCUGCUGCAUGGUGGGUGUUGUAAAGUUUCGGCGGUUGGGGAUGGACUCGCGGCUUAUCAGCUUGUUGGUGGGGUAGUGGCUUACCAAGGCUUUGACGGGUAGCCGGCCUGAGAGGGUGACCGGCCACAUUGGGACUGAGAUACGGCCCAGACUCCUACGGGAGGCAGCAGUGGGGAAUAUUGCACAAUGGGCGGAAGCCUGAUGCAGCAACGCCGCGUGCGGGAUGACGGCCUUCGGGUUGUAAACCGCUUUCGCCUGUGACGAAGCGUGAGUGACGGUAAUGGGUAAAGAAGCACCGGCUAACUACGUG